rnacentral:misc_RNA from 1 species
UCCCCGCUUUACGGGGGCCCGCACAAGCAGCGGAGCGUGCGGUUUAAUUCGAUGCAACGCGAAGAACCUUACCUAGGCUUGACAUGCUAGUUAAAGCGGGUGAAAGCCCGUGUCGUUAUAGGGCUAGCACAGGUGCUGCAUGGCUGUCGUCAGCUCGUGCCGUGAGGUGUUGGCUUAAGUGCCGCAACGAGCGCAACCCCUGCCAUUAGUUGCCAGCGAGUAAAGUCGGGGACUCUAAUGGGACUGCCGGGGACAACUCGGAGGAAGGUGGGGAGACGUUGCGCAACUAACCA